GGUAGUCCACGCUGUAAACGAUGAGUACUAGGUGUUGGGGGUAUCGACCCCCUCAGUGCCGAAGCUAACGCGAUAAGUACUCCGCCUGGGGACUACGGCCGCAAGGCUAAAACUCAAAGGAAUUGACGGGGCCCGCACAAGCGGUGGAUUAUGUUCUUUAAUUCGAUGAUAACCGAUGAACCUUACCAGGGUUUGACAUGUAGGUGACAGGCGUGGAAACACGUCCUCCCUUCGGGGGCACCUUCACAGGUGGUGCAUGGCUGUCGUCAGCUCGUGCCGUGAGGUGUCCUGUUAAG
rnacentral:rRNA from 1 species